rnacentral:rRNA from 1 species
CUACGGGACGCAGCAGUGGGGAAUUUUGGACAAUGGAGGAAACUCUGAUCCAGGGAUACCGCGUGGGUGAUGAAGAUUUACGGAUUGUAAAGCCCUUUUAGUAGGGAAAAUAAUGAUGGUACCUACAGAAAAAGCAUCAGCUAACUCUGUGCCAGCAGCUGCGGUAAUACAGAGGAUGCGAGUGUUAUUCGGAAUCACUGGGCGUAAAGGGCGCGUAGGCGGUUAUUUAAGUCCGCAAUGAAAUACCGGGGCUCAACUUCGGUGCUGUUGUGGAUACUGUUUAACUAGAGAACGGAAGAGGUGAAUAGAAUUCCUGGUGGAGAGGCGAAAUUCUUAGAUAUCAGGAGGAAUGCCAGAGGCGAAAGCGGUUCACUGGGAAGUUUCUGACGCUGAGGCGCGAAAGCGUGGGGAUCAAACAGGAUUAGAUACCCCAGUAGUC